UAACGCGUGGGUAACCUACCUCAUACAGGGGGAUAACAGUUGGAAACGACUGACUAACACCGCAUAACAAGUUGGAACCGCAUGAUUCUAACUUCAAAUAUUUAUAGGUAUGGAGAUGGGCCCGCGUCUGAUUAGCUAGUUGGUGGGGUAAUGGCCUACCAAGGCGACGAUCAGUAGCCGGCUUGAGAGAGUGACCGGCCACAUUGGGACUGAGACACGGCCCAAACUCCUACGGGAGGCAGCAGUGGGGAAUAUUGGACAAUGGGGGCAACCCUGAUCCAGCGAACCGCCGCGUGAGUGAAGAAGUAUUUCGGUAUGUAAAGCUCUAUCAGCAGGGAAGAUAAUGACAGUACCCGACUAAGAAGCCCCGGCUAACUACGUGCCAGCAGCUGC
rnacentral:rRNA from 1 species